rnacentral:rRNA from 1 species
GCGUGCCUAACACAUGCAAGUCGAACGGAGCACUUCGGUGCUUAGUGGCGAACGGGUGAGUAACGCGUGAGAAACCUGCCUUUCAGUGGGGGACAACAGUUGGAAACGACUGCUAAUACCGCAUAAUGUUAUUUGGGGGCAUCCCCGGAUAACCAAAGCUUUAUGUGCUGAAAGAUGGUCUCGCGUCUGAUUAGCUAGAUGGCGGGGUAACGGCCCACCAUGGCGACGAUCAGUAGCCGGUCUGAGAGGAUGAACGGCCACAUUGGGACUGAGAUACGGCCCAGACUCCUACGGGAGGCAGCAGUGGGGAAUAUUGGGCAAUGGGGGAAACCCUGACCCAGCAACGCCGCGUGAAGGAAGAAGGCCUUCGGGUUGUAAACUUCUUUUACCAGGGACGAAGAAAGUGACGGUACCUGGAGAAAAAGCAACGGCUAACUACGUGCCAGCAGCCGCGGUAAUACGUAGGUUGCGAGCGUUGUCCGGAUUUACUGGGUGUAAAGGGCGUGUAGGCGGAGAUGCAAGUUGGGAGUGAAAUCCCGGGGCUCAACCCCGGAACUGCUCUCAAAACUGUAUCCCUUGAGUGUCGGAGAGGCAAGCGGAAUUCCUAGUGUAGCGGUGAAAUGCGUAGAUAUUAGGAGGAACACCAGUGGCGAAGGCGGCUUGCUGGACGAUAACUGACGCUGAGGCGCGAAAGCGUGGGGAGCAAACAGGAUUAGAUACCCUGGUAGUCCACGCUGUAAACGAUGAAUACUAGGUGUGGGAGGACUGACCCCUUCGUGCCGCAGUUACACAUUAGUAUUCACCUGGGGAGUCCACCGCAGGUUGAACUCAAGGAUUGACGGGGCCCGACAGCAUGAUAUGUGUUUAU